rnacentral:lncRNA from 1 species
ACCAGAAGACUAUGAGGAAUCGUUAGACUUUGUUGAGCAAGGAAAGCCACCCCUUGACCAUGUCUAAGAUAAUACUUUCAUGCAUGUCAUAUUUAGCAUUUUAUUCUGAUGCAUGAGAUCAUGUUGAAUCGGUAACUACCUCGAUGUGAUGUUUCCGAUAGUUCCUCGUUGACACUUGCACUUGGGCAUAACCCUACCUACCUAUGAGGGUUGUGCGGGUGGGAUGUAGUUAGGUUGCUAAUAGUACAUGCUUGGUGACCGUAAAGUAAGAUGAUUUCAAAGGUUUUACGAAAACCCUGUUAGGUGCCACUAAUGCCCAAGGGAGAUGGUGUGAGUUUGGUAGCCACUUGAGAAAGAAGCGGUAUACUGAGGCUAGUGAGUUUGUGCAGUUUUCGAAAUCGGAUUGGUUUAAGUUGUGGCCGUUACUCCAACCUUACAUGCACGACCAUGAUACCCCGGAUUGGAUGGGGCUUUGCUUAUUACUAUGGUUGGUGCUAGUAGAGAGCCCGCAUUACUAGUGGCGGAAGUGACGUUGUCAUUCUCGAGACGAGGUCGUGCCAAGAAAAGGGCGACUAUGGGCUGUUUUCACAGACACCGGCCACACCGUUGCGUGCCCUUGUGGAUGAUACAUGUGAUGUACAUCACGAGGAGUUGUCACAAACGCAUGGUCUCUUUGCUAGUAUCGUCAUGGGAAAGGUGAUGAUCGGAUACUUAGCUCGAGUGGGAGAAACACCGUGAGUUGUGUCUUGACACGGAAGUUUCUGGAGUCUUGUGGGCAAAGUGUGCAACCCCUACAGAGUGUAAAACUAUUAGAAUAGCCAUGUCUACGGUCAUGGACAGUUGGAUGACCGCUCUUGGGCUACAUCCAUGUUUACAAACAGUGUGCGUGUGUGAGAAAGGUAGUAUGUCAGUAAUAUGAUGUGUGGACUAAGUCGGCUGACUCGGCAUGAUGGGUGAACAUGGGUUGCUCAGUCCUUAGUUGAUAUUGAUAUCCGUAACUUGUUCACAUGGUUUUCACUUACUUUAUGAUGCAUCCCCGCACGAUAAGUUGAUCAUGAAAGUGCACGAGGGAAAAACCUGGUUUCUACAAAAUUGCCUACUAGUGCUAUAUCAUGCUUCAUUAUUGUUUUGUUCCACAUCAUGGGUUUUUUGCGAGUACAUUCAAAGUACUCAUUGUCUUGCCACUGGUUAUUUAAGUGUCCAAGCAUGGAACAUAAGGAAUUUGGAGAAGAGUUCGUCGCUCACGAGCAUGCGAACUAGAACACUUCCCAGUCAGAAUGUUGUCCAAAGAGUCUAACCCCUUGUGAAUGAGCUAAGGGCCUCCUUUUAUAGGC